AUUAAUCAGUAUCGACUAUAUAAUACCGAGUCCUAAAAAUACAGCAGACAUCAUCAUAAUGACCAUAGCACUUAACGGAGAAAACGAAUUUCCAGCAUUUGCAACCGCAUUCUGAGAAAUCAAAGAGAUGUUGAAGGACGGAAUAGCUGAAGAGGGCAUACUACUACUACUUGUAUAGGAAUAAACGACGCUUUCCGAAAUAUUCACAGCAGACAACGAUGUGGAUGUGAAGUGACUAGUCUGAACCAAUUGAGUAGAUGCCACACUCGUAGGAUAUUGCGAACAAGUUAGAGCACCAGGAAUGUGUUGAUCCACGAUGGCGGACAAGUUGGAUGUUGCGUUAUAAAAGGCUUGCCCAAUGGCAAUCAUUUUUUGACUUUGAUGAUAAAAUGUGUAGGCGUUUCGAAAAAAUAACAAACCUAAUACAAUCUCACUAUCCGUCGAAGGUCGAAUACCUAAAAGACAUAUGUUUGAAACUUGCCCAAUCACUAGCAACGAUAUCGGUACCUUGAUAGUUGAAUUACAUCCAAAUUGAAAUAUCAGAGCGGCUUCCAAAUCAAUUUCAUCACAGUUUAAUGCGAAAUAGCCUUCGGAUAAGUAGGCACCAGCAUUAUCCAUCACACUGUAAGCCAAUUCGGCAGGCAAAUAAAUAUAAGUUUCACGAGUUUGAAAGUAUGCAUCAGUGAUGAUAGAAUAAUUAGAAAAGAACGUAGAGUUUAAGAACUGCACAGAGUAAAUGGAAACGGCGUAAUGCGUAAGCUUAGUCUGCUUCAAAGCGACAAACUGUCCCUGGUACUUUGACGUAUCCACGGCUCCCAAAAGUAAACUUCCAUUACCCUGAUUAUCCAGAUACAUACUAAAAGCAGGGUAUGCCAAUAUAUCCUCUUUAACUAGUUGUUCCAAAAAGGUUGGUGGUGAAAAACUUGAAAUGGAAUCCGAAUAAUCUAUUGAAUUAAUUUCGGUACUGGCAGCUAAACCUAGCACGCCUUUGUACGGCAGCAUUGAACUGGGAACAUACUCCUUUAAUGUGAUGCCGAAUUGGAAGUCCGGUAAAGCUUGAUAAUGACUGUAAGAAAGGGAGUCCUGAACAUUAAUUCCAGCAACUGUAAUGUUAUCGUCAUAGCGGAUAAAAAAAGU